rnacentral:rRNA from 1 species
GAAAUGAGAUGAAUUUACACCCCUUUUCGAGGAACAAUUGGAGGGCAAGUCUGGUGCCAGCAGCCGCGGUAAUUCCAGCUCCAAUAGCGUAUAUUAAAGUUGUUGCAGUUAAAAAGCUCGUAGUUGGAUUUCUGGCAGGAUUUCGAAGUCCGCUUGUUGCGUGUGCUGAGAGACCCUGCCAUCCUUCUGUUAACUCUUCGCGGUAUUCAUUUACCGGUUGAGGGCUCAGAUAUUUUACCUUGAGAAAAUUAGAGUGUUUCAGGCAGGCUUGCGCCGGAAUACAUUAGCAUGGAAUAAUAGAAUAGGACUUUUGCCUCUUCUGUUGGUCUGAGGGGUUUAAGUAAUGAUUAAUAGGGAUAGUUGGGGGCAUUAGUACUUAACUGUCAGAGGUGAAAUUCUCGGAUUUGUUAAAGACUAACUUAUGCGAAAGCAUUUGCCAAGGAUGUUUUCAUUAAUCAAGAACGAAAGUUAGGGGAUCAAAGACGAUCAGAUACCGUCCUAGUCUUAACCAUAAACUAUGCCGACUCGGGAUCGGGAGCGAGAGUUAUCCGCUUUCGGCACCGUAUGAGAA